rnacentral:rRNA from 1 species
GACGAACGCUGGCGGCGCGCUUAACACAUGCAAGUCGUGCGGUGUCGAAGGCAAGUCUUACGACAAGCCUUCGACACAGCGGCGAACGGGUGAGUAACACGUGAGUAGCUGUCCUAAGGAGGGGGAUAACGCCUGGAAACGGGUGCUAACACCCCAUAUGCCUCGCAAGAGGUGAAAGUGUACUUGCUACAGCCUUAGGGUGUGCUCGCGGCCUAUCAGCUAGUUGGUGAGGUAACGGCUCACCAAGGCCAAGACGGGUAGCCGGCCUGAGAGGGUGUACGGCCACACUGGAAUUGAGAUACGGUCCAGACUCCUACGGGAGGCAGCAGUGGGGAAUCUUGGGCAAUGGGCGAAAGCCUGACCCAGCGACGCCGCGUUGGGGAUGAAGCCCUUCGGGGCGUAAACCCAUGUUGUAGGGGACGAAGAAAGUGACGGUACCUACGAGAAAGCCCCGGCAACUACGUG